rnacentral:rRNA from 1 species
UACGUAGGUGGCAAGCGUUGUCCGGAAUUAUUGGGCGUAAAGCGCGCGCAGGCGGCCUCUUAAGUCUGGUGUGAAAGCCCCCGGCUCAACCGGGGAGGGCCAUUGGAAACUGGGAGGCUUGAGUAUAGGAGAGAAGAGUGGAAUUCCACGUGUAGCGGUGAAAUGCGUAGAGAUGUGGAGGAACACCAGUGGCGAAGGCGACUCUUUGGCCUAUAACUGACGCUGAGGCGCGAAAGCGUGGGGAGCAAACAGG